UAAGCGUACACGGUGGAUGCCCUGGCAGUCAGAGGCGAUGAAGGGCGUGCUAAUCUGCGAUAAGCGCCGGUAAGGUGAUAUGAACCGUUAUAACCGGCGAUACCCGAAUGGGGAAACCCAGUGUGACUCGUCACACUAUCAUUAACUGAAUCCAUAGGUUAAUGAGGCGAACCGGGGGAACUGAAACAUCUAAGUACCCCGAGGAAAAGAAAUCAACCGAGAUUCCCCCAGUAGCGGCGAGCGAACGGGGAGGAGCCCAGAGCCUGAAUCAGCAUGUGUGUUAGUGGAAGCGUCUGGAAAGGCGCGCGAUACAGGGUGACAGCCCCGUACACAAAAGCGCAUGUGCUGUGAGCUCGAUGAGUAGGGCGGGACACGUGGUAUCCUGUCUGAAUAUGGGGGGACCAUCCUCCAAGGCUAAAUACUCCUGACUGACCGAUAGUGAACCAGUACCGUGAGGGAAAGGCGAAAAGAACCCCGGCGAGGGGAGUGAAAAAGAACCUGAAACCGUGUACGUACAAGCAGUGGGAGCACAGGUUUACCUGUGUGACUGCGUACCUUUUGUAUAAUGGGUCAGCGACUUAUAUUCUGUAGCAAGGUUAACCGUAUAGGGGAGCCGCAGGGAAACCGAGUCUUAACCGGGCGUUAAGUUGCAGGGUAUAGACCCGAAACCCGGUGAUCUAGCCAUGGGCAGGUUGAAGGUUGGGUAACACUAACUGGAGGACCGAACCGACUAAUGUUGAAAAAUUAGCGG
rnacentral:rRNA from 1 species